rnacentral:rRNA from 1 species
CAGUAGCCGCGGUAAUACGUAGGUGGCAAGCGUUGUCCGGAAUUAUUGGGCGUAAAGCGCGCGCAGGCGGAUCGGUCAGUCUGUCUUAAAAGUUCGGGGCUUAACCCCGUGAUGGGAUGGAAACUGCCAAUCUAGAGUAUCGGAGAGGAAAGUGGAAUUCCUAGUGUAGCGGUGAAAUGCGUAGAUAUUAGGAAGAACACCAGUGGCGAAGGCGACUUUCUGGACGAAAACUGACGCUGAGGCGCGAAAGCCAGGGGAGCGAACGGGAUUAGAUACCCCUGUAGUCCCUGUCUCUUAUACA